GUGGGGAAUAUUGGACAAUGGGCGAAAGCCUGAUCCAGCCAUGCCGCGUGUGUGAAGAAGGUCUUCGGAUUGUAAAGCACUUUAAGUUGGGAGGAAGGGCAGUAAGUUAAUACCUUGCUGUUUUGACGUUACCGACAGAAUAAGCACCGGCUAACUUCGUGCCAGCAGCCGCGGUAAUACGAAGGGUGCAAGCGUUAAUCGGAAUUACUGGGCGUAAAGCGCGCGUAGGUGGUUUUGUAAGUUGGAGGUGAAAUCCCCGGGCUCAACCUGGGAACUGCCUCCAAAACUGCAUGACUAGAGUACGGUUGAGGGUAGUGGAAUUUCCUGUGUAGCGGUGAAAUGCGUAGAUAUAGGAAGGAACACCAGUGGCGAAGGCGACUACCUGGACUGAUACUGACACUGAGGUGCGAAAGCGUGGGGAGCAAACAGGAUUAGAUAUCCGAGUAGUCC
rnacentral:rRNA from 1 species